rnacentral:rRNA from 1 species
GACGAACGCUGGCGGCGUGCCUAAUACAUGCAAGUAGAACGCACAGUUUAUACCGUAGCUUGCUACACCAUAGACUGUGAGUUGCGAACGGGUGAGUAACGCGUAGGUAACCUGCCUGGUAGCGGGGGAUAACUAUUGGAAACGAUAGCUAAUACCGCAUAAUAUUAAUUAUUGCAUGAUAAUUAAUUGAAAGGUGCAAUUGCACCACUACCAGAUGGACCUGCGUUGUAUUAGCUAGUAGGUGAGGUAACGGCGCACCUAGGCGGCGAUACAUAGCCGACCGGAGAGGGUGGUCGGCCACACUGGGACGGAGACACGGCCCAGACUCCUACGGGAGGCAGCAGUAGGGAAUCUUCGGCAAUGGACGAAAGUCUGACCGAGCAACGCCGCGGGAGUGAAGAAGGUUUUCGGAUCGUAAAGCUCUGUUGUAAGGGAAGAACGGGUGUGAGAGUGGAAAGUUCACACUGUGACGGUAUCUGACCAGAAAGGGACGGCUAACUACGUG